rnacentral:piRNA from 1 species
UAGACAGAAAAGGGUGGAAUGGUA